AUAUGAAGCCGGACUGGGAUAGGGCCUCGCUGCCUUGCCCGUCUGGCGCCAUAUUCACCCAUGUCUUUUUGCGUACUACUUGUUUCCUUGGCGGGUCCGCCCGCCAAUUGGACCUUAUUCAAACCUUUUUUUCAGUUGCAAUCAGCGUCAGCAAAACAAAUGUAAUCAAUUACAACUUUCAACAACGGAUCUCUUGGUUCUGGCAUCGAUGAAGAACGCAGCGAAAUGCGAUAAGUAGUGUGAAUUGCAGAAUUCAGUGAAUCAUCGAAUCUUUGAACGCACAUUGCGCCCUUUGGUAUUCCAAAGGGCAUGCCUGUUCGAGCGUCAUUUGUACCCUCAAGCUUUGCUUGGUGUUGGGCGUCUUGUCUCUCUCCCGAGACUCGCCUUAAAAUCAUUGGCAGCCGGCCUACUGGUUUCGGAGCGCAGCACAUUAUUUGCGCUCUUGUCCAGCCGCGGUCGCGCGUCCAUGAAGCUUCUUUCAACCUUUUGACCUCGGAUCAGGUAGGGAUA
rnacentral:rRNA from 1 species